rnacentral:rRNA from 1 species
GACGAACGCUGGCGGCGUGCUUAACACAUGCAAGUCGAGCGGUAAGGCCCUUUCGGGGGUACGACGAGCGGCGAACGGGUGAGUAACACGUGGGUGACCUGCCCUCAGCUCUGGGAUAAGCCCGGGAAACUGGGUCUAAUACCGGAUAUGACUUCAUGACGCAUGUUGUGGAGUGGGAAGCCUUGUGCGGCUGAGGAUGGGCCCGCGGCCUAUCAGCUUGUUGGGUGGGGUGANGGCCUACCAAGGCGACGACGGGUAGCCGGCCUGAGAGGGCGACCGGCCACACUGGGACUGAGAUACGGCCCAGACUCCUACGGGAGGCAGCAGUGGGGAAUCUUGCGCAAUGGGCGAAAGCCUGACGCAGCGACGCCGCGUGAGGGA